UCCAGGGUAGCCUAGUGGACAUGGCAUCUGCCUGGUAAGCGGAACGUUGUGGGUUCGAUUCCCGCCCCUGGAC
rnacentral:tRNA from 1 species